rnacentral:lncRNA from 1 species
GUCUUUUUGCCAUUUCUUGGGCAGCUCCUGGGGCAUAUGGAGGUUCCCAGGCUAGGGGUCGAAUCGGAGCUGUAGCCACCGGCCUACGCCAGAGCCACAGCAACGUGGGAUCCGAGCCUCGUCUGUGACCUACACCACAGCUCACGGCGACGCUAGAUCUUUAACCCACUGAGCAAGGCCAGGGAUGGAACCCACCACCUCAUGGUUCCUAGUCAGAUUCGAUAACCACUACACCACGACGGGAACUCCUGAAGGCUCUUUUUCUCGUCUUGGGCAUAGAGGCCGAGAUACAGAAGAGCUUUAAAGGACCUAAUUUCCCCGAGUGAAUAACAGAGGCAAACGUUAAUGGUAAUGUCAGCACGACCAGUUCUUAACAGUUUCUAUUUUAGGGGUGUGCUCACUGUUGUCCAGUUCUGUGCCUCAAACCAGGAGCAGUAUGUUCAUUCCAAAAAGAAGUCUGAAAAGCUUGGGGAAGCUGAAAAGUACUCCCCCACCCCCUCCCUCGACUCACACCCUCAACUCUCCAUUUGUGGGUAAGUCUCCUCCUGCCACUGCCUCGGAUGGUGGAGAAAACGGAGCUGCUUCCAAGGAAGAUGAACAGCCCAGAGCUGGUCCCUUCUGGUUGGGAGCUGCCCUGCCUUAUUUGAAACAUGGAUCUUACAAGUUGAGCAUCUGAAAGAAACCAGCCAGGCUCCCUUAGGGUCGGCUUUGCCCAGUCCCUAGAACAAAAGCCAGAGCAUUUUGGACAGGAGCAACCUAAACAUGUAUCAAGCAGUCCAAGAGAUGGUCAGUUACACAAACACUUUCAGGCCAAACUGCCUGGCGGAGGGUGGCCGUGGGAAAGCUUUGGUGCCACCUAGUGGCCGCCAUGCGGGAGGGCCAGCAACAGCUCUCUUCCCUGCAGAAGACUCCGCCCUGAUCAACGCGCAGAGGCAUUGCACCUCCACUAAUUAUUCUGUAUUUGAUUAUUUUAUUGCCACAACGUGCUGAGGCAACUGAAAUAACGAUGACAUGAGACGAUGCAAACAGAAAGAGAAAAUCCAGGCUAAAGAAAAAAGAGCCUAGAAAAAACGCCAACCAUGAAGGAAAAUUGCUGCAGAUGAAUUUCCUAGAAGCCAAAGCAAAAAGGGAAAUGUGACCAGCUUAGUGGUUCUCAUUGAUGAUGAGAGAAUCCAGUGACACUGUCUUUUUUUUUUUUCCCUCCCGCAGUUGACUUUUUUUUUUUUUUAAUUUUCCCACUGUACAGCAAGGGGGUCAGAUUAUCUGUACAUGUAUACAUUACAAUUACAUUUUUCCCCCACCCUUUCUUCUGUUGCAACAUGAGUAUCUAGACAAAGUUCUCAAUGCUAUUCAGCAGGAUCUCCUUGUCAGUUUUUCUUAGCACAGAUGUCUAAAAUUGCUUUCUCAGAAGGGGGUUUUCAUAAGGGAUUUUCUCUGUAGGGUAGGUGACCAAUUUGGUCCAAGUCGGUAGCUUUCCUGAUUGAAGGAUGGCAUUUCUAAGACCCGGAGGAGAAGACACGGCCACGUGCUUUGUAAAAGCUCCCUGAACAUCUCCAGCUGUAGUGGGAAGAGGGAAAUUUGGCCCUGGGCAGAAAGCAUGCAAGCUGGCUUCCUCCAGUCCGUUGAGACCAGAUCUGCAGAGUUUGGCAAGCAGAGGACAAGUGGUGAGGCAGGCACCCUCCUGGGAGACUCAGGCUCCCACCCACAGUCCUAGCCCACAGCUCCUAGAGGCCCCCUGCAUCCCUGGCUACAGUCUGCAGGUCCAAAGCCAAUCCAAUUCUCUAACCUCACUCCCCACUGGUUAAAAAGGCUUCUGGCACUUCAAAGCCCUUCCAGAGAAGUCAUAAAUUCCCUCAGCCUACCCUCCACUGAGAUUCCUGAAAACUGACAGGAAUUCAGUUCCCUCCACUUGUUUCACUGAUCUGAGUGGAUUUAUUUAUUCAACAAGUAUUUACUGAGUCCCACGAUGGUUUAAAGAAACAGUGCAACAUAUAAAAACUACAUAACAUCUUCAUUUCCACUCACAUGCUGGUAAAUUUGAUAUAAUGCUCACUAACAAUAAUAAUAAAGUUUAAAAUCCAGGAUGCACCAAGUACUGCAUCGUUUGAUCCCUGGGUCAAAUGAGUUGAUAAGCAAACCUCAUAGAACAACUGCAUGUCAGCCAAGGGGACCUGGGACUGAAGGGGAGAAACGUCAUCUCAUCCUCAGGGAACUAACCCUACUCCCAGCCCUCCAGCGACCGCUUUUCAUAGAGUGCCAAGUACCUUUAAAGUACCUAGUAAUUAAAACGAUAAAAAGUAUCAUGGGAGUCCCUAUUGUGGCUCAGCAGGAAUGAACCCAUGAGGAUGUGGGUUCAAUCCCUGGCCUCACUCAAUGGGUUAAGGACCCGGCAUUGCUGUGGCUGUGGUAUAGGCCGGCAGCUGUAACUCUCAUUUGACCCCCUUUUUUGUCUUUUUGCCAUUUCUUUGGGCCGCUCCUGCGGCAUAUGGAGGUUCCCGGGCUAGGAGUGAAUGGGAGCUGUACCUGGGAACCUCCAUAUGCCGUGGGAGCGGCCCUAGAAAAGGCAAAAAGACAACAAAAAAAAAAAGCUCCUGGUGGCUUCCUAUUGCCUCUAGACUACAAAACUCAACUGCCUGUCCCCCAGGUCACAGAGCUCUACAUGAUCUGGCUCUUCCAUCUCUACCCAGCCUCAUCUCCCAUCUGCUCUUUGCCUCCCUGACUCUGCUUCAAUCCCACCAGACUUCUUGGGGCAGGUCCAGGUCCACGGUGGUGGCAGUGAUGGCCAGCGGAAUCAAACGCUGGUGCUGAGUGUGACAGGCUCACGGAAGGCCCCGCGGCUGCCCAUCCCCCUGUCCCCAAACCUUCCUGUUACAACAUUAAGACAUGAAACUUACAACCAACAGAAGCUACACCUUGACUGGCUCGCAGUCAACUAAUAGAAACAAGCCUUUAAACAUACACUUGCCCCACAUCAUGGUCGUAACAGUGACACAAUUAAGAACCAUCCUGUGUUGUCCAGAGGUAGAGACGGGUGGACAAAGACAAUGACCUCUUCCCAAGGACCAGGAAAAGCGUCCUGGAGGAGGAGAAUGCUUGGGACGAUGAGUGAACGCUUUUCACGAUGCUAGAGAAAAGGGACACGGAGGAGUAGCUUUGGUGAAACUGGAAAAGUUGGAAAACAUGGAGGGGAGAAACGCUGCAUCCAGCUCUCACGGUGAGUAAAGAAAUCUCUCAUGAAAGAAACUGACUCAGCAUCACUGCCGAUAGAUAUUGGCCGAACCUCCCUCGGCUGCUGGCGGGAGAGACCGAUGGCGGAGGCCUCGGCGGCUCUAGGGAACCAAGGCAGAGAGAAAUAAGGCAGGAAUUUAACCUUCCUUGGAGAGUCCUUUUUACAACAGCAGGCAACUCAAUGUGCCCCCUGUAUUGCAGGUGACCAGCACAAGAUGCAUCCACUUGAUAGCGGACAUAUUUUCUUGGCUGUCGAUCAAAUUCGCAACGAGGACGAGCUGAUUUUUUUAUGCUGAACGCCUGCCUGAAGGCACAGUGGGUCCUUCCGGACACCUGCUCAUUAUUGCAUAUGGGACCUGAGCGUCAUUCUCCCAGCUGAAGCCACUCCAGCUUUAUGGGCGUCACUUUGCUCUUCCAAAAUACGGUGGCUCCUGUGUACCCGUCUUUUACCACUUGGCCCUUGGUCAGCAAAGAAACCACCCUGCUUCAAGGGACCUCCUGAAAAGGCCACUCCGGUACAUCGCGAUAAAACAAACAGCUGACAUUGACUGAGAACUCUAUGCACCUGGCCUUGCGCUAAGUGCUUGAUAUACAUGCUCUUUAAGUCCUUUCAUCUUGAGUGUAUGAGGUGGAGUUAUCCCCAUGAUACGCAGGAGGAAACCAGCGAAGAGAGUAAGAAACGGCCACGAUCCCACAACGAGCCAAGAGAAGACUCUCAUCACGUCGUCAUAAAUAAAUUUCCUUUAAAUAAAUCUACUGGGUAUGGUUAAGGGCUAUCAGAACACGUCAAGCUAUACAGACCUGGAACUCUCCCCUAAGGCGUUUACGGCACAGUAGGUUUAAAAAAAUAACAACAUACAAACAUCAUCUCCCAUCCAACCUCACCUCCCAUCCCAACGAGGAGGGAGGUGUGUGACCUAAGUUCUGGGCACCAUUCUCCCGUGGACAAGGGCAGAAUCACUCCCGGGAAAGCAACGGACACACGAGCUGGGUUUUGAAAAGGCGCAAAGAAUAAAAUGUGAGAAUGUCCUUCCAAGCUGAAACAUGUAUUUGGGGGCAGGGGGGCACACCUGCGGCAUAAGGAGGAUCCCAGGCCAGGGGUCAGACUGGAGUCGCAGCUGCCGGCCACAGUCACAGCCACAGCCAGGCAGGAGCUGAGCUGCAUCUGCAACCUAUACCACAGCUACGCUGGAUCCUUAACCCACCAAGCUGAGGCCAGGGAUUGAACCUGCAUCCUCAUGGAUACUAGUUGGGUUCAUUGCUGCUGAGCCGCGACAGGAACUCUCCAAAACAUUUAAGUCACACUCUCCCCAAAGAGGAAUUCUUAAACCAGCAACAUUCAAGGUAACAUUUCAUUAUUAUUUUAUCAUUUAUGAUUAAUAAAAUAUUAAUUUAUCACAUUACCUUAUUUGCAUAUGUAAUUGUAAGCACAAUUCACAAGACUCUUCUCAGACACAACUCCUUAAUGAAUCUAAGGGUAAAAAUCUUGUAGAAUUAGGGAGUUCCCUGGUGGUCUAGUGACUGCGACUCAGCGCUUUCACCACUACGGCCUGGGUACCAAGAUCCCAUACCAAGCCAAAGCUAAAGCUGUGGCAAAAAAAAAGGGAGGGGGCGGGGAGAGAGGGGGAAGGAGGAGAGGGGGAGAGAGAGAGAGGAGACAGAAAAUCUGGCAGGAUUAGCAUGUAGCUGUUUGGGACUAAAUUCUUUGUUUGUUUUUGCUUUUUAGGGCCGCACCCACGGCAUGUGGAGGUUCCCAGGCUAGGGGUCUAACUGGAGCUGAAACCGCUGGCCUACACCACAGCCAGGGCCCCUCCAGAUCUGAGCCACGUCUGCGAUCUACACCACAGCUCAUGGCAACGCCGGAUCCUCAACCCACUGAGCAAGCCCAGGGAUCGAACCCACAACCUCAUGGUACCUAGUCGGAUUCGUUUCCGCUGUGCCACGACGGGAACUCAGGGACUAAAUUCAAGUUUCAGAAAUUAUAAACAGAUUCUAUUAAAAUUCCAUCCCUAUGAUUUAAUUACGGGCAUUAUCAAGACUAACAAUAAAGAAGGGUCUCCUAUGAAAUGCGAAAGUUCUGCUUGCAUCAGAUAGAGGCGGGAGUCCGCCAGGGGAAGAGGCUGACUCUGCCUUGGGAAAGCAGUCGGGGCUGUCCACAGGUCACAUACGAAAGGCCUGCUUCUAUGAA